CCCCCACCGCCAGCUACUCCGACAGACGGCCUAAGCCUAUGAUACCCCCUGCCACCUGAAGAAAAAGAAAAAUAAGACAAAAUUGGUGAGAUUAAAAGACGAAAAAGGAAAGAGAGAAGGGUUUUUUUGCAGCAAAAAAAAAGAAAAAAUUGAAAAAAAUAGCAGCAAAACACGAAAGAAACAACAGCCCAAAAGUUCUUUGCCACUGUCGUGCCACCACCAUCGCCGCUCCACCACCGAAACCAAGCCAAGAGCCAAACAAAAAAACAACGAAAAAGAAUAGCAAAGAAGAAAGAAAGAAGUAUAGGAGGAGAGGACCACCACGCCACCGUCGGUCAUCGCACCAGGCGGAGCAAGCGUCAUAAACGGCGCAAGGAGUUGGGGGUGGCUGAACGGAGAAGAAAGGAGAAAAAGAAAAGGGAAAGAAAAAAAAAGAAAGAUGAACGGGAAGGAAAAAAAGAAAAAAGAUGAAAAAAAGGAAUGAAAAGAAAAAAUUCAAGCAAAAACACCAAAAAAAAUAACAGUCCCACCACCACCGUGCAUCGUCGUACCUCCACCGUGGUCACAACCACCACUGUCCUUCCCCAUCUACUAAUACCAAAAGAAAGCAAAUCAAGCAAAAGAAAAAAAUCAAAAUAAAAAACACCCAAAAAAAUAGCAAAACAAGAAAGAAAAGAGAGGGAGAAGGGAGGAGAGGCAGCAACGCCGGCACCGUCACACCAGGGGUGUAAGAAGCAGUGGCGGCAUGGCAAUAGGCUAAGGUUUCAGCCCAAAAAAGAAGAAGAGAAAGGAACGAGAAGAAGAAGAAAAAGGGGAAAAAGAAAGAAAAAAGAAAAAAGGGAAAAAAAUGAAAAAGAGGAAAAAUAAUAUAUAAUAGUCGGGCCAACCCGGCCCGACCGAUAGCAGCCAGCACCCAGCAG
rnacentral:lncRNA from 1 species